rnacentral:lncRNA from 1 species
GCUGCCUGUGCUUCCAGCCCGUUUGCCCUUAUUGAAGAAAGAAGAGAAUUAAAAUCCAUAAUCAUGUGAGCGAACCAGCCGGGAAAACCGACAUAGACAGAAUAACUUUUCCACGUUGUGUUGCACUUCGCAUCCUUGAUCUGGCAAUUAAGAGCAGCCCUUCAUUGGUGACUCUGUCACAAACAGUGGAUGACAAACUCCUGCUUAUUCAAUCUACUCCUCAUCUGACACCUUCCGUAGUAAUUUAUUUCUCCCAGCGGAAAGACUUUAUUGUGAAAGAAGUAUAUUCCACAGGGGCCCUGGACUGAUAAAAUAGAGUGAGUAGUGUGUAUAUCACUUUUUACGUAAUAUAUGAACACCUUUAGAAAAUUUCCUGAGUUGCAUGUUAUAAUUUUUUAUUAAUUAUAAUCAGUUU